rnacentral:rRNA from 1 species
AUACGGAGGAUGCAAGCGUUAUCCGGAAUCAUUGGGCGUAAAGCGUCUGUAGGUGGUUUUGUAAGUCCGCUGUAAAAGAGUACAGCUUAACUGUAUAUGGGCAGUGGAAACUACAAGACUGGAGUGUGGUAGGGGUAGAGGGAAUUCCCGGUGUAGCGGUGAAAUGCGUAGAUAUCGGGAAGAACACCAACGGCGAAAGCACUCUACUGGGCCAACACUGACACUGAGAGACGAAAGCUAAGGGAGACGAAAAGGAUUAGAUACCCUUGUAGUCUUAGCCGUAAACGAUGGAUACUAAGUGGUGCGCGUAUUCAUGCCUGCACUGCUGUAG